AGUGAACGCUGGCGGUAGGCCUAACACAUGCAAGUCGAACGGCAGCACAGUAAGAGCUUGCUCUUACGGGUGGCGAGUGGCGGACGGGUGAGGAAUACAUCGGAAUCUACUUUUUCGUGGGGGAUAACGUAGGGAAACUUACGCUAAUACCGCAUACGACCUACGGGUGAAAGCAGGGGAUCUUCGGACCUUGCGCGAUUGAAUGAGCCGAUGUCGGAUUAGCUAGUUGGCGGGGUAAAGGCCCACCAAGGCGGCGAUCCGUAGCUGGUCUGAGAGGAUGAUCAGCCACACUGGAACUGAGACACGGUCCAGACUCCUACGGGAGGCAGCAGUGGGGAAUAUUGGACAAUGGGCGCAAGCCUGAUCCAGCCAUACCGCGUGGGUGAAGAAGGCCUUCGGGUUGUAAAGCCCUUUUGUCGGGAAAGAAAAGCAGCAGGUUAAUACCCCGCUGUUCUGACGGUACCCAAAGAAUAAGCACCGGCUAACUUCGUG
rnacentral:rRNA from 1 species